rnacentral:rRNA from 1 species
CCUACGGGAGGCAGCAGUGGGGAAUAUUGCGCAAUGGGCGAAAGCCUGACGCAGCGACGCCGCGUGAGGGAUGAAGGUCUUCGGAUCGUAAACCUCUGUCAGCAGGGAAGAACGGUCACUGUGCUAAUCAGCAGUGAAUUGACGGUACCUGCAAAGGAAGCACCGGCUAACUCCGUGCCAGCAGCCGCGGUAAUACGGAGGGUGCGAGCGUUACUCGGAAUUACUGGGCGUAAAGCGCGCGUAGGCGGUAUGUCAAGUCAAGGGUGAAGUCCCCGCGCUCAACGUGGGAACUGACUUUGAUACUGGCAAACUGGAGUGUGUGAGAGGAUAGUGGAAUUCCAGGUGUAGGAGUGAAAUCCGUAGAUAUCUGGAGGAACAUCAGUGGCGAAGGCGACUAUCUGGCACAUAACUGACGCUGAGGAGCGAAAGCGUGGGUAGCAAACAGGAUUAGAUACCCUGGUAGUC